GUAGGUGGCAAGCGUUGUCCGGAAUUAUUGGGCGUAAAGCGCGCGCAGGUGGUUCUUUAAGUCUGAUGUGAAAGCCCCCGGCUCAACCGGGGGGGGUCAUUGGAAACUGGGGAACUUGAGUGCAGGAGAGGAAAGUGGAAUUCCACGUGUAGCGGUGAAAUGCGUAGAUAUGUGGAGGAACACCAGUGGCGAAGGCGACUUUCUGGCCUGUAACUGACACUGAGGCGCGAAAGCGUGGGGAGCAAACAGGGAUUAGAUACCCUGGUAGUCCACGCCGUAAACGAUGAGUGCUAAGUGUUGGGGGGGUUUCCCGCCCCUCAGUGCUGCAGCUAACGCAUUAAGCACUCCGCCUGGGGAUACGGUCGCAAGACUG
rnacentral:rRNA from 1 species